GGGGCUGUGGCUCAGUAGCAGAGCGCUUGCCUUGCACGUGUGAGGCCCUAGGUUCAAUCCUCAGCACCA
rnacentral:tRNA from 1 species